rnacentral:rRNA from 1 species
AACGAACGCUGGCGGCAGGCCUAACACAUGCAAGUCGAGCGAAGCCUUCGGGCUUAGCGGCGGACGGGUGAGUAACGCGUGGGAACGUGCCCUUUGGUACGGAAUAGCCCCGGGAAACUGGGAGUAAUACCGUAUGUGGUCGAGAGACGAAAGAUUUAUCGCCAAAGGAUCGGACCGCGUUGGAUAGGUAGUUGGUGGGGUAAUGGCCUACCAAGCCGACGAUCCAUAGCUGGUUUGAGAGGAUGAUCAGCCACACUGGGACUGAGACACGGCCCAGACUCCUACGGGAGGCAGCAGUGGGGAAUCUUAGACAAUGGGGGAAACCCUGAUCUAGCCAUGCCGCGUGAUCGAUGAAGGCCUUAGGGUUGUAAAGAUCUUUCAGUGGGGAAGAUAAUGACUGUACCCACAGAAGAAGCCCCGGCUAACUCCGUGCCAGCAGCCGCCGUAAGAC